GACGAACGCUGGCGGCGUGCCUAAUACAUGCAAGUAGAACGCUGAAACUUGGUGCUUGCACCGAGCGGAUGAGUUGCGAACGGGUGAGUAACGCGUAGGUAACCUGCCUGGUAGCGGGGGAUAACUAUUGGAAACGAUAGCUAAUACCGCAUAAGAGUAGAUGUUGCAUGACAUUUGCUUAAAAGGUGCAAUUGCACCACUACCAGAUGGACCUGCGUUGUAUUGGCUAGUUGGUGGGGUAACGGCUCACCAAGGCGACGAUACAUAGCCGACCUGAGAGGGUGAUCGGCCACACUGGGACUGAGACACGGCCCAGACUCCUACGGGAGGCAGCAGUAGGGAAUCUUCGGCAAUGGACGGAAGUCUGACCGAGCAACGCCGCGUGAGUGAAGAAGGUUUUCGGAUCGUAAAGCUCGGUUGUAAGAGAAGAACGAGUGUGAGAGUGGAAAGUUCACACUGUGACGGUAUCUUACCAGAAAGGGACGGCUAACUACGUG
rnacentral:rRNA from 1 species